rnacentral:tRNA from 1 species
GGAGAGGUGGCCGAGUGGCCGAAGGCGGCGGUUUGCUAAACCGUUAUACGGUCUAAUAACCGUAUCCAGGGUUCAAAUCCCUGCCUCUCCG